rnacentral:pre_miRNA from 1 species
UGUGAAUCAGUGGGGUCCCUUGGCCUGGCCUGUGCCCUCUCACAAUCUGGGACACCUCGAAGGACUUCAACUGGUUUCGGCCCAAUCCUGCAGGCCAGGCCAAGGGACCCCACUGGUGCAUG